CAAACCGGAGGAAGGUGGGGAGUGACGUCAAGUCCUCAUGGCCUUUAUGACCAGGGCUACACACGUACUACAAUGGCAGGUACAAAGGGCAGCCACUUAGCGAUAAGGCGCGAAUCCCGUAAAACCUGUCUCAGUCCGGAUUGGAGUCUGCAACUCGACUCCAUGAAGUUGGAAUCGCUAGUAAUCGCAGAUCAGCACGCUGCGGUGAAUACGUUCCCGGGCCUU
rnacentral:rRNA from 1 species